GAUGAACGCUGGCGGCGUCCCUAAUACAUGCCAGUCGAGCGAACAGACGAGGAGCUUGCUCCUCUGACGUUAGCGGCGGACGGGUGAGUAACACGUGGAUAACCUACCUAUAAGACUGGGAUAACUUCGGGAAACCGGAGCUAAUACCGGAUAAUAUAUUGAACCGCAUGGUUCAAUAGUGAAAGACGGUUUUGCUGUCACUUAUAGAUGGAUCCGCGCCGCAUUAGCUAGUUGGUAAGGUAACGGCUUACCAAGGCGACGAUGCGUAGCCGACCUGAGAGGGUGAUCGGCCACACUGGAACUGAGACACGGUCCAGACUCCUACGGGAGGCAGCAGUAGGGAAUCUUCCGCAAUGGGCGAAAGCCUGACGGAGCAACGCCGCGUGAGUGAUGAAGGUCUUCGGAUCGUAAAACUCUGUUAUUAGGGAAGAACAAAUGUGUAAGUAACUAUGCACGUCUUGACGGUACCUAAUCAGAAAGCCACGGCUAACUACGUG
rnacentral:rRNA from 1 species